AAAAGAAUGGAUUGGUUGGUUGAGGGGAGCUGGUGCCUAGAGGAGCUGUCUACAGAAACCAUCAAGGAGAUGACAUGUCAAAGGCAUGAUUUAAUGAAGACUCUGAAGGACAUUGCCUCCAGGCAUUAGGAGCAGCAUAGGACAUAGCACAGAUGCUCCUGUUUGAAAAUCUCAAAAGCAAAUGAAGGAGCAUCCUAUAAUUUCCUAUCAUAACUGGACAAGAGAGAGGGGAGAAAAAGCUGAAGAUUGCAGUAAAUACAGCUGAGGUGAAGUCAGAGCACUGUAUUCUCUAUCCAGAUCUAAGGUAUGUUCUUGAGAGCUUCCCAUUUCGAGAACACUUACACGAUAUGUUUCCACUUAGCUUUUAUGCCAAAAAUAUCCCAAUGCAGCUCCGCCACUGAUAAGGGAAGCAAGAGCCUUCAUCUAAACAGGGCUCCAGGCAGCUGCUGGUGCUCCCAGCCACUGUCUCACACAAACCUGUGAACAGCCAGCCUGGAUGGGAUAUGGAGGAGCCCCUGGCUGGGCAGGCAGUCCUGUUCCCCAUCAUGGAUGCUGGGGACCAGCCCUCCCAUGCCCACCUUGCUGCUGGCUCCCCAUCCACCCUGCUGCCCUCAGGAGCAGCCAGAGCAGCCAACAGCAGCACAGCUUGUGGCCACUUGCAGGGACCAACAGAGUCAAGGCUGGAAGGAAAGCAUGGGGAAAAUCAUGGAUGGGGCAGAAGACUGCAGGAAAAUAUUUCAUCAACACAGGCUAACAGCCUGAGACAUUUGGUUCUGUACAAAAGCAUCAGCAGUGGUUACAUCAAUCAUAAAUGCUUUUGGAAAAGAAGCAAUUUUAAAAGUAAAUAAAUUAAAACCUGUCUACAGACUCUGCAUUACAAAUAUCAUUAUGAAAGCUAUCCAGGUUUCAGGGGAGUUUUAAAACAGUCAUGUGCUAGCUGCAAUGCUGAAAGAUUGUCCUGCCAUUUGGAAGGUCUGUGCUUGCACCUCUUAGUGGGAGUUUCCUCAAAGAUGUUUCACUGGAAUAUUUCUAGAUAACGUGCCAGUAGAGCUUUAAUAAUUAUCUUUCUCAAUUCCUUGGAUUCAUCCUAAAAAGUGUGCAUGCAUACUUUUGUCAAAAGCUUGAAUAUUCUUGCCUCAGCGCCAACACUUGGUGACUUUGCAAGAGGACCAGACUGCACUUCUCUGGGAAGUCUGUCAUUAGAAACAGACAUAGUGCCUGAAGAACACUUAGGUAUAGAAGGAGGCAGUUGCAGGGUUCAGGGUAAAGGUCUGGGCAAUAACCACCCCAGCACACAGGCAGAAGGCAGGGAAACAGGCUGACAAAUGCCAGAA